AAGAAGAAACAAAAACCAGAGGAAGAAAAGCAAAAAAAGUAAGAGAAGAAAAACACAAAAAAAA
rnacentral:sRNA from 1 species